CCAUUAACAAAGGCAUCGGAGCAAACAAACAAAGCCGCUUGGAAAUAGAAAACUGAUUUCAGAUCUCCAUUUUGAAUAAAACCCUUGUGUUUCCCUUCUUGACUCAUCCUGAAAUAAUUGGGGAAGGAAGAAGAAUGAUCAGCAUGGCUGUUGCCUUCUCUCACUCCAAUAUCAUCAUUCCCAGAAGCCAAACUGAGAAGAUCAGGAGAAGAUCUUGCUUGUGCCGCCACCACCACCACCACCACAACAACAACAACACGUCUGAAGCAUCGGUUUCAGUCAAUAAAUUUAGCAGCAGAGGUGCCAAGGUUUAUGAGGAUCAAGAAACGGGUGUCAUAUGCUUCAGAGAUGAUAAGGGAGAAAUAGUCUGUGAAGGAUUCGACGAAGGACCGCGGUUCGAUCAACCCAUUUUGAAGCGAAGCAGGAGGAAUAGGGAGCUUCAGAGCAUUCCAAGCUUCCUUCAAAUAUUGAUGGCUGAAGGCGAUGAAGAAAAGUAUCAAUAGAAUGAAUGGUAGAGAUUCUGAAGAACCAAUGAAUGAUGGGAAGACCUUCUGAUUUGAGUCACGGCUUCGCUGUCGGAGUCUUGGGCGGAGGAGCUCUUCCCUCGGCCAUUCCCUGUUCGACGUCGACGACAUCAGUCGUGGAGGGGCCGGCACCGGUCCUCCUCCCCUGGCUCCACAGUCUCCGCAGCGACCGGAACCUCGCCGAAACCGGCGACCUCAGCUCCUCCGAAGCGGACGUCGUCGGCGACGGGGAGACUUGUGGCCCGGAUCCGUCGACUGCUCUCCUCGGGAUCUCGAUCACCAGUGCCCCUUCCUGACCUUGGCCGCCCCAAAACAACACGUUCGUCGGGAACGACGGCGGUUCACGGGGAGAAGCCUCCGGCAGCGGCAAUGGCGGAGGAAGAGGAUUCUGCGGCUCUGUUAUCGGGGAGGACGGUUCGCCGGCGACAGGGCGGCGGCAGAGCGGGCAGGUGGCGUGGGAGUGGAACCACAUGUCGAUGCACUCCAGGUGGAAACCGUGGCCGCAGGCGGGUAGUACCCGCGCCGUCUCGCCUUCGGAGAGCUCGGUAAGGCAGACCGCGCACUCGAGGCCGCCGGCCUCCUUGAAGUCGGCGGAGCGGUAGACAGUGGUGGGCAGGGCGGCGAGUGCGGCGGCGUCGAGGCCACGGCGGCCGACGUCAGCAGAGGCAGAGAAGACGAAGCGGACGCCGUUGGAGCGAAGGCGGUGGCGGGCGUAGAGGUAGAGGAAGAAGGCGAAGACGACCACCAUGAAGAGGAAGGCGACGGCGGCCACCAUGACCUCGGUGCUGAUCCUUACGGCUUCGACGGAUCCGUCGUCCGCGCCGUCCAUCGCCGGUACAAACGAUGACUUGCAUAAAAAUCCAAUCGAUGCUGUGAAUCGAUGGAAUCCAUGCUUAAUAGAAGGCAUCGGAACGGGGAAUGGAUCAAAGAUUGAGACAUGAGAGGCUGCGGUCAACGAAAGACGAUUGACUUUUGAAGCUUCUUUUUAAACAUACCCCCACAGUUUAAGAACUUCCUUUAAGAUACAUUUAAGCCAUCAAAUUCAUAUUUUAAUUAAA